rnacentral:rRNA from 1 species
UGGGGAAUAUUGGACAAUGGGCGAAAGCCUGAUCCAGCCAUGCCGCGUGUGUGAAGAAGAUCUUCGGAUUGUAAAGCACUUUAAGUUGGGAGGAAGGGCAUUAACCUAAUACGUUGGUGUCUUGACGUUACCGACAGAAUAAGCACCGGCUAACUCUGUGCCAGCAGCCGCGGUAAUACAGAGGGUGCAAGCGUUAAUCGGAAUUACUGGGCGUAAAGCGCGCGUAGGUGGUUCGUUAAGUUGGAUGUGAAAUCCCCGGGCUCAACCUGGGAACUGCAUUCAAAACUGACGGGGUAGAGUAUGGUAGAGGGUGGUGGAAUUUCCUGUGUAGAGGUGAAAUGCGUAGAUAUAGGAAGGAAAACCAGUGGCGAAGGCGACCACCUGGACUGAUACUGACGCCGAGGUGCGAAAGCGUGGGGAGCAAACA